CGUCUCUCCAGUUCAAUGGAAACCAAGUCACUCCACAAACAAAGGUGCUCUGUAAGAAGUGGAGGCUAAGCGUUGUCUAAGCGUUGUCUUUAAUUCCUUUCUCAGACCCUGACAGCUGUUUAGGCCAACUUUUUUUCCCUUUAUGACAACUCAAACCAUUACCUGCUGGGCUCUAGGGCUGGAAUGAAUUUAAGGAGAAGGUAAAAACCAAAAGGAGUUCAUCAGAUGAAAAGAUGUAUUAACCAACAUGUUCAUAGUGGUCUUAUUUUGAAAAGGAAAAGUGUUGGAAAGAACCCAAAUAUCUAACAGUGGUGACAUCAUGGCCAAAUGAUGGACUGGACCAUCCCUAUGAUGCAG
rnacentral:lncRNA from 10 species